rnacentral:rRNA from 1 species
UGGGGAAUAUUGCACAAUGGAGGGAACUCUGAUGCAGCGACGCCGCGUGAACGAAGAAGGCUUUCGAGUCGUAAAGUUCUUUUAUAUGGGAAGAUAAUGACGGUACCAUAGAAGAAAGCCCCGGCUAAAUACGUGCCAGCAGCCGCGGUAAUACGUAUGGGGCGAGCGUUGUCCGGAAUUAUUGGGCGUAAAGGGUACGUAGGCGGUCUAUUAAGUCAGGUGUGAAAGCGUGAGGCUUAACCUCAUUAAGCACUUGAAACUGAUAGACUUGAGUGAAGGAGAGGAAAGUGGAAUUCCUAGUGUAGCGGUGAAAUGCGUAGAUAUUAGGAGGAAUACCGGUGGCGAAGGCGACUUUCUGGACUUUUACUGACGCUCAGGUACGAAAGCGUGGGGAGCAAACAGG